GAACGCUGGCGGCGUGCCUAAUACAUGCAAGUCGAGCGGACAGAUGGGAGCUUGCUCCCUGAUGUUAGCGGCGGACGGGUGAGUAACACGUGGGUAACCUGCCUGUAAGACUGGGAUAACUCCGGGAAACCGGGGCUAAUACCGGAUGCUUGAUUGAACCGCAUGGUUCAAUUAUAAAAGGUGGCUUUUAGCUACCACUUACAGAUGGACCCGCGGCGCAUUAGCUAGUUGGUGAGGUAACGGCUCACCAAGGCAACGAUGCGUAGCCGACCUGAGAGGGUGAUCGGCCACACUGGGACUGAGACACGGCCCAGACUCCUACGGGAGGCAGCAGUAGGGAAUCUUCCGCAAUGGACGAAAGUCUGACGGAGCAACGCCGCGUGAGUGAUGAAGGUUUUCGGAUCGUAAAACUCUGUUGUUAGGGAAGAACAAGUACCGUUCGAAUAGGGCGGUACCUUGACGGUACCUAACCAGAAAGCCACGGCUAACUACGUGCCAGCAGCCGCGGUAAUACGUAGGUGGCAAGCGUUGUCCGGAAUUAUUGGGCGUAAAGCGCGCGCAGGCGGUUUCUUAAGUCUGAUGUGAAAGCCCCCGGCUCAACCGGGGAGGGUCAUUGGAAACUGGGGAACUUGAGUGCAGAAGAGGAGAGUGGAAUUCCACGUGUAGCGGUGAAAUGCGUAGAGAUGUGGAGGAACACCAGUGGCGAAGGCGACUCUCUGGUCUGUAACUGACGCUGAGGCGCGAAAGCGUGGGGAGCGAACAGGAUUAGAUACCCUGGUAGUCCACGCCGUAAACGAUGAGUGCUAAGUGUUAGAGGGUUUCCGCCCUUUAGUGCUGCAGCAAACGCAUUAAGCACUCCGCC
rnacentral:rRNA from 2 species